AUUGAACGCUAGCGGGAUGCUUUACACAUGCAAGUCGAACGAGUGGCGGACGGGUGAGUAAUAUCUCGGAACGUGCCCAGUAGCGGGGGAUAACUACUCGAAAGAGUAGCUAAUACCGCAUACUAUUGGAGCGGCCCAUAUCGGAUUAGCGAGUUGGUGGGGUAACGGCUCACCAAGGCCACGAUCCGUAGCUGGUCUGAGAGGAUGACCAGCCACACUGGGACUGAGACACGGUCCAGACUCCUACGGGAGGCAGCAGUGGGGAAUUUUGGACAAUGGGGGAAACCCUGAUCCAGCCAUGCCGCGUGUAUGAGAAGGCCUUCGGGUUGUAAAGUACUUUUGGCAGAGAAGCGGUACCCGCAGAAUAAGCACCGGCUAACUACGUGCCAGCAGCCGCGGUAAUUC
rnacentral:rRNA from 1 species